ensembl:snRNA U6 U6 spliceosomal RNA
GUGCUCACUGUGGCAGCAUAGAUACUAAAGUUGGAAGAACACAGAGAAAAUUAGCAUGGACCCUGCACAAGUGAGACAGAACACUAACUCAGGUAGUUAGUGUAG